CCGUUGAAACACAAAGCAGUGGACAAUGUUCAAUGUUGUUAAAUGUGCAGUGUGUUCAAUCAAGCAAGAAUGUCUUCACAGAAGAAAACGGGGGAAAAAGCUAAAUUAUCCAAUUGACUGAAGCAUGUAGAUCCAGCCAUUUCACACGCACUGACGCAAUCUCCCUCCGCCACUGUUGAAACAGACUUUUCCACAUAGCCUCCUAGGGGAACAUUCGUCGACAAGGAAGCCCAUUGGUCAGAGCGUUGGGCUGGAUCGAAUCCCCGAGCUGACAAGGUACACAUCUGUCGUUCUGCCCUGAGCAACACUGUUCCCCGGGCGCCGAAGACGUGGAUGUCGAUUACAGCAGGCCCACUGGGUUAAAUGCGGAAGACACAUUUCUGUUGAAUGCAUUCAGUUGUGCAACUGACUAGGUAUCAUUCUUUCCCAGGCUGACACGAUAGCUGUCGUCAGUCUUUGACUGAUAAAGCGUUAUAGCUACAAACUCUAAAAAUGAGAAUUUGGCAGUACGUCCAACCGGCCUCAACUGAUAAAAGUGAAAAAGGUUCUUCAUGGGGCCAUCGCUAUGAACAGAUAUGCACCUCAGUCCAUCAGGUGUUAUCCUGGACUGCACCCUCUUUCCACCACUACAUCUGUCGCUGAAACCCAGAUCCAAGCAUUUAUCAUCUCCCGUCUCGACUACUGCAACUCACUAAUCUCCAGGCAUCAACGCAAGCUCCCUCCAUAAGCUCCAAAUGGUUCAGAACUCUGCAGCCGAACUCCUCCCCCACACUGACAUCACACUCGUUUCCCUUUAAGCCCCUCCCCCUUGGUUUCAUUUCUUCCUGACUUCGUCUUGUUUUCUGUUUAGUUUCCACAAUGGUAAAAGCGACAUUGAAAAUAAGUCCCAUGUAUUAUUAUAAUAAACAGGGACACUAUCAAUGUUGUCACCAUCCAAUGAAUAUAUAUAUGGAUAAAACAUCAAAUACAUUUAAGUGUUUUUUGAAAAUAACAUACCUGGUUACCUGCAUUAUGUACCAACUUCAGUUCAACAAAGGCUUUCUGCAAAACAUAAGGCAGAUUGUAGUUCUGGACGAGCCUUGUGAACAGAAUACACUACAGUAUCGUCCACAUACAAGUGGAGGUUACAAUUUCUUACAAACCAAUAGUGCUUAUAUAGAUAGUAAAAAGUACAGGGCCCAAAAUCGACCCAUGGUGGGGCACCUUUAGUACUAAAGGAAACUUUACUUAACACCAUCAGAAGUGUCCUCUCGGUCAGGUUGUUUUCAAACCAAAUGCAGGUUGCCUGACCCAGGCCAAUUUUUAUUUAAGUAGGCAAGUCAGUUAAGAACAAAUUCUUAUUUUCAAUGACGGCCUAGGAACAGUGGGUUAACUGCCUUGUUCAGGGGCAGAACGACAGAAUUUUACCUGGUCAGCUCGGGGGAUUCGAUCUUGCAACCUUUCGAUUACUAGUCCAACGCUCUACCUGCCGCCAAAAUUGGUCAACACAAUCGAAAGACUUCCACAGGUCUAUAAAAAAGGGCAGCACAAUGUAAUUUUACAAUGUAAUUGAUCAGCAAAGACGUAGCAGAUAGUGCUAUGAUGAACACUUAACUGAUUCAAUGAGGUGAAGCA